AUGAGCCCGGACGCGGGUUCGAUUCCCCUC
rnacentral:sRNA from 1 species